rnacentral:ncRNA from 2 species
AACAUUCAUUGCUGUCGGUGGGUUUGAAUCUGAAUUGACUCACUGAUCAAUGAAUGCAA